rnacentral:rRNA from 1 species
GUGGGGAAUAUUGCACAAUGGGCGAAAGCCUGAUGCAGUAACGCCGCGUGAGGGACGACGGCCUUCGGGUUGUAAACCUCUUUUAGUAGGGAAGAAGCGAAAGUGACGGUACCUGCAGAAAAAGCACCGGCUAACUACGUGCCAGCAGCCGCGGUAAUACGUAGGGUGCAAGCGUUAUCCGGAAUUAUUGGGCGUAAAGAGCUCGUAGGCGGUCUGUCGCGUCUGCUGUGAAAACUGGAGGCUCAACCUCCAGCCUGCAGUGGGUACGGGCAGACUAGAGUGCGGUAGGGGAGAUUGGAAUUCCUGGUGUAGCGGUGGAAUGCGCAGAUAUCAGGAGGAACACCGAUGGCGAAGGCAGAUCUCUGGGCCGUAACUGACGCUGAGGAGCGAAAGCGUGGGGAGCGAACAGGAUUAGAAACCCUGGUAGUCC